ACGGAACUUUUCGGAGUUCAGUGGCGGACGGGUGAGUAACGCGUGAGAAUCUGCCUUCUGGUCGGGGACAACCAUUGGAAACGGUGGCUAAUACCGGAUGAGCCUACGGGUAAAAGAUUUAUUGCCAGAAGAGGAGCUCGCGUCUGAUUAGCUAGUUGGUGAGGUAAAGGCUCACCAAGGCAUCGAUCAGUAGCUGGUCUGAGAGGAUGACCAGCCACACUGGGACUGAGACACGGCCCAGACUCCUACGGGAGGCAGCAGUGGGGAAUUUUCCGCAAUGGGCGAAAGCCUGACGGAGCAAGACCGCGUGAGGGAGGAAGGCUCUUGGGUUGUAAACCUCUUUUCUUGGGGAAGAAAAAAAUGACGGUACCCAAGGAAUCAGCAUCGGCUAACUCCGUGCCAGCAGCCGCGGUAAUACGGAGGAUGCAAGCGUUAUCCGGAAUUAUUGGGCGUAAAGCGUCCGCAGGUGGCACUUCAAGUCUGCUGUCAAAGGUCGGGGCUUAACCCCGGGAAGGCAGUGGAAACUGAAGCGCUA
rnacentral:rRNA from 1 species